AAAUGAAGCAAUAUUUACACCCCAAGUAAGAAAAGAAUAUUUGUAUGAUCAAUUGAGGAGGAAGGUGAACCCAAGUGCUGAAACAUGAGCAAUUUCACGCCUUUGCCAGGGCGUUGGAGGAGAGGUGUUAGAGCCUAUGAUGCUCACACAACCAACACCAGUGAAUCCAAUGAAGUGCCUGUGUAUUAUAGAUCUCACUCUACAAGGGUCAACCAGGAUGAGAGGAGUUCAGGUGUACUAGAUCUACUGCAGUGGUGGGAAGUCAGAACUCCUACAAGACACUACACUUUACCAAAGUAAGACCAAAUUGCAAACUAAUUUGCUUGCGUUGAGACUUCCCUAAUAGCAUUAGUGCAUGGAUCGGGCGGGACAUAAAUACUUCUAUACCCGCCCAAAAGAAGGAGUCAGCCAGACGAAGGAAGCCAUGGCGGGAACUGAUAAAACACUGAGGAUCCUCGCCCUCCCUUUUAGGCGGACCCGCAAGCCAGCUGGAAGAUUCUUUUGGAUUUGUCUUAUAUACAUAGGGAUUUGUGCCCUAGUUGUCAGGCCCAAAUGUAGGAAAAGUCCAUAUCAUGACCAACCUCUAUAAAAGGGAAGGUCAUCACCUUGUACUACCAACUUUUGAAUCAUUAAUGAGAAUUUACUCUUUUAUUACA